AGUGAACGCUGGCGGUAGGCCUAACACAUGCAAGUCGAACGGCAGCACAGAGGAGCUUGCUCCUUGGGUGGCGAGUGGCGGACGGGUGAGGAAUACAUCGGAAUCUACUCUGUCGUGGGGGAUAACGUAGGGAAACUUACGCUAAUACCGCAUACGACCUACGGGUGAAAGCAGGGGACCUUCGGGCCUUGCGCGAUUGAAUGAGCCGAUGUCGGAUUAGCAAGUUGGCGGGGUAAAGGCCCACCAAGGCGACGAUCCGUAGCUGGGCUGAGAGGAAGAUCAGCCCCACUGGAACUGAGACACGAUCCAAGCACCUACGGGAGGCAGCAGUGGGGAAUAUUGGACAAUGGGCGCAAGCCUGAUCCAGCCAUACCGCGUGAGUGAAGAAGGCCUUCGAGUUGUAAAGCCCUUUUGUUGUGAAAGAAAUCCAGCUGGCUAAUACCCGGUUGGGAUGACGGUACCCAAAGAAUAAGCACCGGCUAACUUCGUGCCAGCAGCCGCAGUAA
rnacentral:rRNA from 1 species